rnacentral:lncRNA from 1 species
AAGGGAAUGCCAGUACUUACCAUGUCCCACCCACUAACCAUUAUUGCCAACAGAUCUGUAACUAGAGUCAGAUCCCAGUACGCUUCUGGAAGGCAAACGCAAUGUCUGAUCUGAGAGAAGGCUACAGAAAAAUUGUAAGAUUUUGCUGAUUUGAAUCAGCAGAAACCUUGGGAAUGUGUAUGGACUGGAUGCUAAAGGCACAGUUGUAGCAGACAUACUUGACCGCUGGCAGAAUCUUCACAGUGACCCACAGAGUGAAAGCUAUUGUGGUGGGAAGAGCAAAGGAAAGUCCCUGGAACUGUCCUUCCCCACCAGAUCAUAAUCCAAAAGCGACAGUGCAUCCCUGAGGGCACGACAGAUAUUACCGUCACCAUCAAAGACUGAGAAAUUUGGGAGCGCUGAUCUCUAUCUUAUCUGCGUGUAAAUGAUUUGUUUGCCCUGUGCAGUACUUGAGUUGUAGCUGUUACAAUCUCUUUACGAAGCAAGUCAACACCUGCCCUGGCACCUGCAGACAUGCAAGUAUCAGUCUGAAAUAUGCUUUCUUCUGUAGCCCAAAGAGCAGAAAACAUCAAAGCAGGUUCCUUUCACCUGUCAGGGUCAACAGUCCAUCUUACUGUCCCACACCUGGGCAUAUCACCUCUCCAGCUCUGCUGAAAUCUCCUCUGCAGUCGCUUUAAUCAUCUCACCUUUCCCAGAACAUCACUCUACAUGUGGUGACGUGUUUUUGGACCUAAUAAGCAAGAAGUAGCAGGUGAGUCACCACCACAGCAUGGCUGCUAAUAGACUAGUGGUGGAGGUCCACACCCGGGAUCUGAACCCAGG